rnacentral:rRNA from 1 species
UGCCCAGGCGCGAAAACUUUGCAAUAGGCGAAAGCCUGACAGGGCUAUCCCGAGUGCCAUCCGCUGAGGAAGGCUUUUACCCAGUCUAGAACGCUGGGGGAAUAAGGAGAGGGCAAGUCUGGUGUCAGCCGCCGCGGUAAUACCAGCUCUCCGAGUGGUGUGGAUGUUUAUUGGGCCUAAAGCAUCCGUAGCUGGCUAAGUUAGUCCCUUGUUAAAUCCACCGAAUUAAUCGUUGGAUCGCGGGGGAUACUGCUUGGCUAGGGGACGAGAGAGGCAGACGGUAUUUUCGGGGUAGGGGUGAAAUCCUAUAAUCCCGGGAAGACCACCAGUGGCGAAGGCUGUCUGCUAGAACGCGCCCGACGGUGAGGGAUGAAAGCUGGGGGAGCGAACCGGAUUAGAUACCCGGGUAGUCCCAGCUGUAAACGAUGCAGACUAGGUGUUUGAACGGCCACGUGCCGUUCUAGUGCCGCAGGGAAGCUGUUAAGUCUGCCGCCUGGGGAGUACGAUCGCAAGAUUGAAACUUAAAGGAAUUGGCGGGGGAGCAC